GUGAAACUUCUUUUUGGUCGGACCAUAAAAACUCAGCAAACAAGAGUGUAUGCACGAUGGGAGGCUGAUAGGUGGUAAGGCCACUAUAGAUUCAGGCCAGGGUAUGGCCAGAGAAGAUGGAUGAGACUCAUUGGAGUGGAGGGGGAAGGAGAACGUUCUAGAGAGAACCAAAGAGAGAGAGACAUAGAGAGAGAGAGAGAGUCAG
rnacentral:lncRNA from 1 species